rnacentral:rRNA from 1 species
GAUGAACGCUGGCGGCGUGCCUAAUACAUGCAAGUCGAGCGAAUGGACGAGAAGCUUGUUUUUCUGAGGUUAGCGGCGGACGGGUGGGUAACACGUGGAUAACCUACCUAUAUGACUGGGAUAACUUCGGGAAACCGGAGCUAAUACCGGAUAAUAUUUUGAACCGCUUGGUUCAAAAGUGAAAGACGGUCUUGCUGUCACUUAUAGAUGGAUCCGCGCUGCAUUAGCUAGUUGGUAAGGUAACGGCUUACCAAGGCAACGAUGCAUAGCCGACCUGAGAGGGUGAUCGGCCACACUGGAACUGAGACACGGUCCAGACUCCUACGGGAGGCAGCAGUAGGGAAUCUUCCGCAGUGGGCGAAAGCCUGACGGAGCAACGCCGCGUGAGUGAUGAAGGUCUUCGGAUCGUAAAACUCUGUUAUUAGGGAAGAACACAUGUGUAAGUAACUGUGCACAUCUUGACGGUACCUAAUCAGAAAGCCACGGCUAACUACGUG